AUUGUUUCGACUAGCUCUUCGUUAUCCUCCAAAUAAGGCAGGGUGAGCAUCCCCCUAUAGAUGUGGAAUUCAAGAUCUUUUUUGGGUGAGGUGAAUCUGUUUAUCAGGGUCGAGGUGUAUGCCUUUAGUUGGGCGUGAAAGAAGCGAUUGCUGUCUCAGGCUCUCCACAAUUUCUAAGUACCGUAUCCUCAAGGUCAAAGUUUAAAGGUCCUCGGUCAGGCCAGGUGAGCGGGUUCUCUCAAGUGUAUCGUUCGCGAUUCUUUGGUUGAAGUAUACUCGUUUGCCAGGGUCAAGUUCAGGUGUAUACCUUUUGAUUAGGCUCAGAAGGGGAGACCGUUGUCUAAAUUUUCUCCGCAAUUUCCUGAAUAGGUGAUUUGUCGUUUUGAUUUUUAAGCGAGGUGAGCGCACUCCGUUGUUUAGCUCUGAAGGAAGGAGCCGCUGUCUGGAUUUCUCAACGAUUUUCUGUAUAGGAUGAGGCGAGCAUACUGUUGCAGAUAAAUAGUUCACACUCCUUAAAGUGUGGUAGAUCAAUUUGACAAGGUCAAGGUCAGGUGCGUGCCUUUGGUUAGGCCUGAAGGAGAAGCCGCUGUUUCAUUUCAUUUUCUCGACGAUCCUCUGGGUGAAGUGAUAUUGUCUGUGUCAUUUAUUAGUUGUUUAGGGCGUUAUCAAUUGUAUUCCCAUUCAGUAAUUUAUCAUUUUAAUUUUUGUGGGGUAGACCUAUUCCUUUGGUUAGACUUGAAAAGGGGGUGCUGCUUUUUAAGUUUCUUGAUGAUUUCGGAGCGAGGUGAGGUGAACCCACUCCUUUGUUAGGCUUG